rnacentral:tRNA from 1 species
GUUCAGAGAUGGGAAUUGAACCCACAGUGUUCCGCUUACCGGGCAGAUGCCAUGUUCACUAGGCUACCCUGGA